UACGGAGGGUGCGAGCGUUGUCCGGAAUCACUGGGCGUAAAGGGCGCGUAGGUGGCCCGAUGAGUCAACGGUGAAAGCUCGAUGCUCAACAUCGAGUCGGCCGUCGAUACUGUCGGGCUGGAGCACUGUAGAGGCUCAUGGAAUUCCGGGUGUAGCGGUGGAAUGCGUAGAGAUCCGGAAGAACACCGGUGGCGAAGGCGGUGAGCUGGGCAGUAGCUGACACUGAGGCGCGACAGCGUGGGGAGCAAACAGG
rnacentral:rRNA from 1 species